AUUGAACGCUGGCGGCAUGCCUUACACAUGCAAGUCGAACGGUAACAGGUCUUCUGAUGCUGACGAGUGGCGGACGGGUGGGUAAUACAUCGGAACGUGCCCGACCGUGGGGGAUAACGAAGCGAAAGCUUUUCUAAUACCUCAUAAGAUCUACGGAUGAAAGCAGGGGACCGCAAGGCCUUGCUCGAACGGAGCGGCCGAUGGCAGAUUAGGUAGCUGGUGGGAUAAAAGCUUACCAAGCCGACGAUCUGUAGCUGGUCUGAGGGGAAGACCAGCCACACUUGGACUGGGGAACGGCCCAGACCCCUUCGGGAGGCAGCAGUGGGGAAAUUUGGAAAAUGGGGGAAAGCCUGGUCCCGGCAUGCCGCGUGGAGGAAGAAGGCCUUCGGGUUGGAAACUGCUUUUGUGCGGAAAAAAAAGACUCUGGUUAAUACCUGGGGUGCAUGACGGUACCGUAAGAAUAAGCACCGGCUAACUACGUG
rnacentral:rRNA from 1 species